rnacentral:rRNA from 1 species
CCUACGGGUGGCAGCAGUGAGGAAUAUUGGUCAAUGGUCGGAAGCCUGAACCAGCCAUGCCGCGUGCAGGAAGAAGGUCCUAUGAAUUGUAAACUGCUUUUGUACAAGGGAAAAGCCUAAGACGUGUACCCAGCUGAAUGUACGGUACGAACAAGGAUAGGCUAACUCCGUGCCAGCAGCCGCGGUACUACGGAGGAUCCGAGCGUUAUGCGGAUUUAGUGGGUUUAAAGGGUGCGUAGGCGGUUUGAUAAGUCAGGGGUGAAAUGCCCGAGCUUAACUCGGGAACUGCCUCUGAUACUGUCGAUCUAGAGAGUGGGAGCGGUAGGCGGAAUGCGUGGUGUAGCGGUGAAAUGCUUAGAGAUCGGGCAGAACACCGAUUGCGAAGGCAGCUUACCGGUCUAUAACUGACGUUGAGGCACGAAAGCGUGGGUAGCAAACAGGAUUAGAUACCCCAGUAGUC